rnacentral:lncRNA from 10 species
GGUGUGAUCUCGGCUCACUGCAACCUCCACCUCCCAGGUUCAAGCGAUUCUCCUGCCUCAGCCUCUCGAGUGGCUGGAAUUACAGGCACACACCACCACGCCUGGCUAAUUUUUGUAUUUUUAGUAGAGACGGGGUUUCACCAUGUUGGCCAGGAUGGGCUCGAUCUCUUGACUUCUUGAUCCACCCACCUCAGCCUCCCACAGUGCUGGGAUUACAGACGUGAGCCACCAUGCCUGGCCAUGA